ensembl:lncRNA
AUGAAUCUUUCAUGAUAUAUUUAACCAUUUUAGCAUGCUUUUUGAAUUUUAUACAUGCAUGCAGACAUGCAUACAUACAAGUACAUAUUUAUAUCUUCUUCAAGGAUUAGUAAAUUAAGUAACUAAAAUUGCAUAAAUAUCAAAUAAUCAUACUUAUGCAAAGGAGGGAUCAAAAGAAGGACAAUAUUAUAUGCAUAGAAAUCUUCACUGUUGACUUAUGUCCAAUAGCUAAUGAAUAGAACCAUCUCCAAGGCCUCCAAAAUCAGAAAUAUUAGGAUUCCCCUUCAGGUGAAGACACACCAUACAUGAAACUACAGCAGCCUUGAAACUAUGUCAACCCAUAGGCUUAGAUUUAUGUUCAUAAAAAACUAUGAUUCAAUUUACAAUUUAUAUUUUUAUAAAACAUGUAAUGCAUUCACCACUAAUCAGAUUUUAUGUCAAUCAGAGUCCUGACAGGAAACAGAUGGAACUUUCAAAUGGAGAACGGAGAAUUUAAGGAAGGAACCAUUUUCAGUGAUGAAUCAGGGUUAAAGGAAACCAGAACAAGAUGGUGAAGCACUUGAGGACUACUGAGAGAGUCAUGGCCACCCCUGCACCUGGGCCCAGCAGCUGUGGCUUCGUGGAGGGACCCAGCCAACCUUCAGCAGCCAGAGACCGAGGAGCUGGCGGGGAAACAUCUGACCUCACUCUUCAUCCUGCAUUUUUGCUAAAUCUGGCAACACAAGCUGGAAUCAACAGAAAUGUAAUGCAUGAGUUUUUAAAAUGCAUUGGGAUGAACAGAAAUACCAUAAGGAAAGCAAGAUGCGAUUCUUGCUCACCCUCCCCCCUAAAAAUAAAAGCAAUCACCUAACAACUAAAAAUAUCUUUUAUUUUUUUUAAGGAAAGGCAGAUAUUUAAAAAGCAUUGACAUUCAUUUUUUUGAACCUCUGCUUCAGCUAAUACUUCACAUUUUUACAUUCUUAGAAAAUGUUCAAAUUUUUCUCUUAGACUUCAUUUCAAUGGAACUCCCCCUCUUCCCCCCUCCCCAUGAAUUGUGAUUACUCUGUGUUUUUGGCCUUGUCUUCUAGAAAAUGUACCAUUUUGACUCACAGCUUAAGACAGCUUUGAUGUUCUUAGUAUGACAUACUGUAUAUAAUGUUAGCUGUUCAAAGCUGGAGAUCAGAUUGUGCAUAAUAACAUAUGUAGUUUAGAUUAUAUAAACACUACAGGAAGAAGGGGAGACAGGGCCCUUCUGUGUACAAAUUUCAGAUUGCUAGCUCUAUGCCUGUUUAGAAUGUUAAAUACUCCUAACUAGGCAGUGAUGAAGUUACUUCUUUAGUGACUGUGACUUCUGAAACUAUAGAGAUGAAGAUUUUUCAACUAAAAUUAAUUUGAAGAUGAUGUUAAUUAACAUAUUUACUUUAUGUGGUUUUCUAGUUGCUACUUGGGGAGCUUUGGGGAUAAAGAUGGAAAAAUAAAUUUCAUUGUCUUUAAAGCCCAAUGUAAUUAAGCAAUUUCAUCAAAAACUUGGAAAAUAUAGCUUAAAAGAGCCAAACGCAGAAUGUGAUACAAAUUGUAAAUUUCAUCCAUUAUACAUUUUACCCAUUGUAAAGGUAUCUGAGGCAGGAAACUAUACCACUGUGUUUCCCUAGGAUUGCUUCUUUUAUAUGUUAGUAUUUCAGAUUAGUUAGACUACUAUGGAGUUUUUUUCUUUUGUGUCAUUCUUUUAUUUCUAAGGUUGCUGUCUGCCU